rnacentral:lncRNA from 10 species
AAACCCAGCUUCUCUACAGCACCAGGAAGAAGGCAAGCUGGGCCACCAGGGCGCGGCCCCAGGAAGGAAAAUCCUCCAUGGUCCUGUUGACAGAUGUGGUAUCAAAUGAAUUGUUCUCUGCUUAGACACGACUUUGAUAUUUAUUGGUUCAAAUUGCUCGGCUGACUCAGUCUUGCUGAGCCCUGAAGCAUGGCAUUGAGAAGCUGCCUAAGAAGGAGGCAGAUCCAUCAGCCUGGGUGCCCGACUGAUUACCCUGAGCAGAGCUCCCCAGCCCACCUGUGAUGGACGCAUGGAGCUUGAGCAAGGAAUAAAUAUUCGUUGCUUCCUGAGAACCCCACUGCGGAUGAGAACAAACGUUUGUUCGGCUGACCCUUUCUCAGAUCCCGCCCACUGAGAAGUGACAGUCCCUCCUCUCCCCGCCUCUCCCUGACCCCCAGCUCUCCGCGGCGGGAUCUGAGCCCUCUCCUGCUGGACUUGUGGUACUUGCUGAACAAUCUCGUGUUGUUGUCUGCCCGCUGGGAGAGAACACUGAUAAGAGAGGCGAUUAGGUGACUAAAUCUGCUG